UCCACCCGGCUUACCUUUUCAGUUGUUUGUUUCGGCUUGUGUUGUCUAAACAGACAGUGGGUUUCCUGUGUCGCCUACCUAAUUCAUGGUAUUGUCCUGAUCAAUCAUAGUGACCUUCGUCUUGUGUCAUUCACAUGGCACUAGACGAACCUUGAAGUAGUCUUUUUGAUCCACGUUGUCAAUGCUUGCGUUGAUGUUGUGGCCCAUUGAGCGUUGCUUGGUAUCCUGGAUAUGGAACAUAUGAUUUGGGCAUGGGUCUCUUGGGAUCUUCGUUCUGCCCUUAUUUAGCGUUUGUGCGUCCCUUAAUACGACUGCUCGGCCCGCAUUGGCUCGUACCAGCGGACGUGUAUGUCAAAGAGUCGCACAUCUCUUAGAAUGACGAAUCGGCCCGCAUUGGCUCGUACCAGCGGGUAGGUUGUGUCAAAGAGGAAUGCUACCUGGUUGAUCCUGCCAGUAGUCAUAUGCUUGUCUCAA
rnacentral:misc_RNA from 1 species